rnacentral:lncRNA from 1 species
ACUAUCUAAAUUUAAUAUGUUUUUUGUUUGUUUUACAUCUUGUGAAUCUAAUAUAUUUCUAAUAGGAAAAUAACCACACUUUUUAUUUCAUUUGAGAUUAAUUAACUUGGAUUUGCAAAAAAAAAAAAAAAAUUUGAUUAAUACAUGUUCUUCAAUUUUAUAUUUUUGGUAAGAAAAUCACCAAAUAUAUAUGUGGUCAUGUGGAUUCAACUUUAAUCAAGUUUGAUUAUUU